CGUUGAAACACCGGUUGUCAUAUGAUCACCGAAGUUAAGCAACGUCCAGCUUGGUCAGUACUUGGAUGGAUGACACACUUGGGAAUAUCAGGU